AUACGGAGGGUGCAAGCGUUACUCGGAAUCACUGGGCGUAAAGCGCGCGCAGGCGGUCUUUUAAGUUAGAUGUGAAAGCCUACGGCUCAACCGUAGAACUGCAUCCAAAACUAUUAGACUAGAGUGUGGGAGAGGAAGAUGGAAUUAGUUGUGUAGGGGUAAAAUCCGUAGAGAUAACUAGGAAUACCAAAAGCGAAGGCAAUCUUCUGGAACACUACUGACGCUGAGGCGCGAAAGCGUGGGGAGCAAACAGGAUUAGAAACCCUAGUAGUCC
rnacentral:rRNA from 1 species